UACGGAGGAUGCGAGCGUUAUCCGGAUUUAUUGGGUUUAAAGGGUGCGUAGGCGGGCUUUUAAGUCAGCGGUAAAAAUUCGGGGCUCAACCCCGUCCGGCCGUUGAAACUGGGGGCCUUGAGUGGGCGAGAAGAAGGCGGAAUGCGUGGUGUAGCGGUGAAAUGCAUAGAUAUCACGCAGGACCCCGAUUGCGAAGGCAGCCUUCCGGCGCCCUACUGACGCUGAGGCACGAAAGUGCGGGGAUCGAACAGG
rnacentral:rRNA from 1 species